GUGGGCUCUCCAUGUGCCAGGCGCCAGGGAGGCCGAGUUCGUGUUUCCCCGGUCGGAGGACGCAUUCCGAGGAACAGUGGAGGGUGCCCCUCCAGCCACGGCUUCGGUGUGUUCUCUACCCUGACCUCGUGGGCCCAGCCCUGUCCUACUGCCUGCGAUGUUUCUACCUCAGUUAGCUGUCUGUAUCAUUGCCUCCUCUGAAGAAGUACCCCUGACUGUGGUUAAGGGAGAAGCUCAAGACCUUGUACUUGCCAGGCAGGUGCCCAACUGCUGCUACGUCCCUGGCCCCAGGAUCAUCUGUUAAUGCAAAGAAAAUCUGAACAUAAGGGAAGUGUGCAGGUCUGGUCAUCGUGACUUUCGUCUUCAGACGCCCUUCCAGCCACAGCUUCGACGUGUUCUCAUCCUCUGCACUGACCUCCACGGUCCAGCCCUGUCUGCCUGCCUACAACAUUUCUACUUAAAUUAGCUGUGUCGUUCACCAGGAGAGGGUGACUGUCUGGCAGCCAUUUUUUUUUUUUGGUACUGGGGAUUGAACUCGGGUCCUUGCGCUUCACUGAACCGCUGAGCUAAAUCCCCCGCCCGGCUGGUAAUCAUCUUAAUACUAGCAGUAAAGCUACCUGCUAUAAGCAAUUUGCAAGCAUCAAACCGGGACUUAAACUAAAGAAGAAAAUGGGAAGACAUUUAAGGAGGAUGAAACUCCAUCCUAUUUCCGGCUCACAGAAGGCGAGCCUAGAAGACAGUGAAGUGGAACAGAUGGAAAACCAUCCACCUGGACUCUCAGGGAUGUUAAUAGUGACAGUGAAUGAGGCUCUAGAAAAAUUCAAAUCAGAAUUAGUUUCUGAGUUAACCGCGGCGUUGACGACCGCGAUGACAGACAUGUUCAGUGAAUACAGAGCACACACCGUUAAACGACUAGAGGAACUUGGGAAAAUACUGGAAACCAUGAACGCCGAACACAGGGAACAAAUGGAAUCCAUGAAACAGCUGCAGGCGGAUAUGCAGGAGAUCGAAAAUUCACUGACAGUACCUGCAGCAGAACACGCUGUUGUGAAGACACAGUAUCAGAUAUAGAGGAUAGGACUGCGGUUAGUGAUCGUGAGAAGAAAGGAUUCAGUGGUUCUGCCACCUGCCUCGUAAGUACAAGGUCCUGAGUUCAAUCCAUGAUACCGAAAACA